ensembl:snoRNA
AUUUUUUUGUGGUUCAUAAGAGUCAUGACUGGCUUUUUACAUUGUUGUGCAGCAUGUUCCUCCCUUGGACCUUAUUAGGACAUUGGCUAAGUACCCAUCUGAUG